UACGAAGGGGGCUAGCGUUGUUCGGAGUUACUGGGCGUAAAGGGCGCGUAGGCGGCGCAUCAAGUCAGGCGUGAAAGCCCUGGGCUCAACCCGGGAAUUGCGCUUGAGACUGGUGUGCUUGAGUACGGGGAGAGGAUAGUGGAAUUCCCAGUGUAGAGGUGAAAUUCGUAGAUAUUGGGAAGAACACCGGUGGCGAAGGCGGCCAACUGGACAGAUACUGACGCUGAGACACGAAAGCGUGGGGAGCAAACAGG
rnacentral:rRNA from 1 species